rnacentral:rRNA from 1 species
CAGCAGGCGCGCAAAUUACCCACUCCCGGCACGGGGAGGUAGUGACGAAAAAUAACGAUACGGGACUCAUCCGAGGCCCCGUAAUCGGAAUGAGUACACUCUAAACCCUUUAACGAGGAUCAAUUGGAGGGCAAGUCUGGUGCCAGCAGCCGCGGUAAUUCCAGCUCCAAUAGCGUAUAUNAAAGUUGUUGCGGUUAAAAAGCUCGUAGUCGAAUCUGUGUCUCGCGCCGCCGGUUCAUCGCUCGCGGUGUUUAACUGGCGUGCCGCGGGACGUCCUGCCGGUGGGCUUAGCCUUCGCGGGCGGCCCAACUUGAAAUCCCACCGCGGUGCUCUUCAUUGAGUGUCGAGGUGGGCCGGCACGUUUACUUUGAACAAAUUAGAGUGCUUAAAGCAGGCUCAAACUUCGCCUGAAUACUGUGUGCAUGGAAUAAUGGAAUAGGACCUCGGUUCUAUUUUGUUGGUUUUCGGAACCCCGAGGUAAUGAUUAAUAGGAACGGAUGGGGGCAUUCGUAUUGCGACGUUAGAGGUGAAAUUCUUGGAUCGUCGCAAGACGAACAGAAGCGAAAGCAUUUGCCAAAAACGCUUUCAUUGAUCAAGAACGAAAGUUAGAGGUUCGAAGGCGAUCAGAUACCGCCCUAGUUCUAACCAUAAACGAUGCCAGCUAGCGAUCCGCCGACGUUCCUCCGAUGACUCGGCGGGCAGCUUCCGGGAAACCAAAGCUUUUGGGUUCCGGGGGAAGUAUGGUUGCAAAGCUGAAACUUAAAGGAAUUGACGGAAGGGCACCACCAGGAGUGGAGCCUGCGGCUUAAUUUGACUCAACACGGGAAACCUCACCAGGCCCGGACACCGGAAGGAUUGACAGAUUGAGAGCUCUUUCUUGAUUCGGUGGGUGGUGGUGCAUGGCCGUUCUUAGUUGGUGGAGCGAUUUGUCUGGUUAAUUCCGAUAACGAACGAGACUCUAGCCUGCUAACUAGGCGUACUUUCGACAUCUCAAAGGCCCGCCGGCCCGGCUCGGUUCUCGGGACGUGGUCGCGCGCGGUUUUUACUGUCGGCGUACAAUCAAUUCUUCUUAGAGGGACAGGCGGCUUCUAGCCGCACGAGAUUGAGCAAUAACAGGUCUGUGAUGCCCUUAGAUGUUCUGGGCCGCACGCGCGCUACACUGAAGGAAUCAGCGUGUCCUCCCUGGCCGAGAGGCCCGGGUAACCCGCUGAACCUCCUUCGUGCUAGGGAUUGGGGCUUGCAAUUGUUCCCCAUGAACGAGGAAUUCCCAGUAAGCGCGAGUCAUAAGCUCGCGUUGAUUACGUCCCUGCCCUUUGUACACACCGCCCGUCGCUACUACCGAUUGAAUGAUUUAGUGAGGUCUUCGGACCGGUACGCGGUGGCGCCUCGGCGUCGCCGAUGUUGCUGGGAAGAUGACCA